UACGAAGGGGGCUAGCGUUGCUCGGAAUCACUGGGCGUAAAGCGCACGUAGGCGGAUCGUUAAGUCAGGGGUGAAAUCCUGGAGCUCAACUCCAGAACUGCCUUUGAUACUGGCGACCUUGAGUUCGGGAGAGGUGAGUGGAACUGCGAGUGUAGAGGUGAAAUUCGUAGAUAUUCGCAAGAACACCAGUGGCGAAGGCGGCUCACUGGCCCGAUACUGACGCUGAGGUGCGAAAAGCGUGGGGGAGCAAACAGGG
rnacentral:rRNA from 1 species